AGAGUUUGAUCCUGGCUCAGAACGAACGCUGGCGGCAGGCUUAACACAUGCAAGUCGAACGCUCGUAGCAAUACGGGAGUGGCAGACGGGUGAGUAACGCGUGGGAACAUACCCUCCGGUUCGGAAUAGCUCAGGGAAACUUGGAUUAAUACCGGAUACGGCUGAGAGGCGAAAGAUUUAUCGCCGGAGGAUUGGCCCGCGUUCGAUUAGCUUGUUGGUGAGGUAACGGCUCACCAAGGCGAUGAUCGAUAGCUGGUCUGAGAGGAUGAUCAGCCACAUUGGGACUGAGACACGGCCCAAACUCCUACGGGAGGCAGCAGUGGGGAAUAUUGGACAAUGGGCGCAAGCCUGAUCCAGCCAUGCCGCGUGAGUGAUGACGGCCUUAGGGUUGUAAAGCUCUUCC
rnacentral:rRNA from 1 species